GUGGUGGCUCAGCGGUAUAGUGCUCGCCUAGCAUGUAUGAGGCCCUGAGUUCAAUCCUCACUACCACA
rnacentral:tRNA from 1 species